rnacentral:rRNA from 1 species
UACGUAGGGGGCAAGCGUUGUCCGGAAUCAUUGGGCGUAAAGAGCGUGUAGGCGGCUUGGCAAGUCUCGCGUGAAAUCCUGCGGCUCAACCGCAGGCGGUCGCGGGAAACUGCCUCGCUAGAGUCCGGAAGAGGAGAGUGGAAUUCCUGGUGUAGCGGUGGAAUGCGCAGAUAUCAGGAAGAACACCCGUGGCGAAGGCGGCUCUCUGGGACGGUACUGACGCUGAGGAGCGAAAGCGUGGGGAGCGAACAGG